GAAACACUGACAGUCAAUUUCUGAUUUCUCAUGGAUACUGAGUUGAAAGGAGAAAAGGAUACUCAUAUCUUAACUGAAGAGACAUGGACACUGUACUGGAAACCACUGAGCAACAGUCUAUGGCUACAGAAAGAUUCACUUUGAAUUCAGUUUUGAGUGAGGUGUGAAUAAGAAAUAGUCAGAUCAAAACUGCUAUCAGGAAGAUCGGUUGUAUUGAAGUCAUAAGUCAUCCAAGGUUUGUAAACAGUAGUGAACUUUGGUGCUUGUCAC
rnacentral:lncRNA from 1 species